ACGCACGCUGGCGGCGUGCUUAACACAUGCAAGUCGCACGGAAAGGCCCUGCUUGCAGGGUACUCGAGUGGCGAACGGGUGAGUAACACGUGGGUGAUCUGCCCUGCACUUCGGGAUAAGCCUGGGAAACUGGGUCUAAUACCGGAUAGGAGCCAUUUUUAGUGUGAUGGUUGGAAAGUUUUUUCGGUGUAGGAUGAGCUCGCGGCCUAUCAGCUUGUUGGUGGGGUAAUGGCCUACCAAGGCGGCGACGGGUAGCCGGCCUGCGAGGGUGGACGGCCACAUUGGGGCUGGGAUAAGGCCCAGAAUCCUAAGGGAGGCAACAGGGGGGAAUAUUGCACAAUGGGCGCAAGCCUGAUGCAGCGACGCCGCGUGGGGGAUGACGGCCUUCGGGUUGUAAACUCCUUUCGCUAGGGACGAAGCUUUGUGUGACGGUACCUAGAUAAGAAGCACCGGCUAACUACGUG
rnacentral:rRNA from 1 species